rnacentral:rRNA from 1 species
ACCGCAUACAAGUCUCUUGGAACAGAGCGUCAUAGUGGUGAGAACCCAGUACACGAUGCGGAUGCCUAUUACUUUGUGAUACACUUUCGAAGAGUCGAGUUGUUUGGGAAUGCAGCUCAAAUUGGGUGGUAAAUUCCAUCUAAAGCUAAAUAUUGGCGAGAGACCGAUAGCGAACAAGUACCGUGAGGGAAAGAUGAAAAGCACUUUGGAAAGAGAGUUAACAGUACGUGAAAUUGUUGGAAGGGAAACACAUGCAGUGAUACUUGCUAUUCGGGGCAACUCGAUUGGCAGGCCCGCAUCAGUUUUUCGGGGCGGAAAAUCAUAGAGAGAAGGUAGCAGUCUCGGCUGUGUUAUAGCUCUUUAUUGGAUUCGCCCUGGGGGACUGAGGAACGCAGCGUGCUUUUUGCAUGAGCUUCGGCUUAUCCACGCUUAGGAUGCGGGUUUAUGGCUGUAUAUGACCCGUCUUG